CCAAUAGCGUAUAUUAAAGUUGUUGCAGUUAAAAAGCUCGUAGUUGAACCUUAGGCCCGUGCGGGUGGUCCGUCCUCUGGGCGAGCACUGCGUCGUCGCGGGUCUCACCUUCUGGCGAGCGUGGAUGCCAUUCACUUGGUGUCCGCGGGAACCAGGACCUUUACCUUGAAAAAAUUAGAGUGCUCAAAGCGGGCUCGUAC
rnacentral:rRNA from 1 species